rnacentral:rRNA from 1 species
UGGGGAAUUUUGGACAAUGGGGGCAACCCUGAUCCAGCCAUGCCGCGUGAGUGAAGAAGGCCUUCGGGUUGUAAAGCUCUUUCGGCCGGGAAGAAAUCGCAUCUCCUAAUACGGGGUGUGGAUGACGGUACUGGAAGAAGAAGCACCGGCUAACUACGUGCCAGCAGCCGCGGUAAUACGUAGGGUGCGAGCGUUAAUCGGAAUUACUGGGCGUAAAGCGUGCGCAGGCGGCGCCAUAAGACAGCUGUGAAAUCCCCGGGCUUAACCUGGGAACUGCGGUUGUGACUGUGGUGCUUGAGUGCGGCAGAGGGGGGUGGAAUUCCACGUGUAGCAGUGAAAUGCGUAGAGAUGUGGAGGAACACCGAUGGCGAAGGCAGCCCCCUGGGUCGACACUGACGCUCA